UACGGGGGGAGCAAGCGUUGUUCGGAUUUACUGGGCGUAAAGGGCGCGUAGGCGGCGUGACAAGUCACUUGUGAAAUCUCCGGGCUUAACUCGGAACGGUCAAGUGAUACUGUCGGACUAGAGUACAGAAGGGGCAACUGGAAUUCUUGGUGUAGCGGUGAAAUGCGUAGAUAUCAAGAGGAACACCUGCGGCGAAGGCGGGUUGCUGGGCUGACACUGACGCUGAGGCGCGAAAGCUAGGGGAGCGAACAGG
rnacentral:rRNA from 1 species